rnacentral:rRNA from 1 species
GACGAACGCUGGCGGCGUGCUUAACACAUGCAAGUCGAACGGAAAGGCCCUGCUUGCAGGGUACUCGAGUGGCGAACGGGUGAGUAACACGUGGGUGAUCUGCCCUGCACUUCGGGAUAAGCCUGGGAAACUGGGUCUAAUACCGGAUAGGAGCCAUUUUUAGUGUGAUGGUUGGACAGUUUUUUCGGUGUAGGAUGAGCUCGCGGCCUAUCAGCUUGUUGGUGGGGUAAUGGCCUACCAAGGCGGGGACGGGUAGCCGGCCUGAGAGGGUGGACGGCCACAUUGGGACUGAGAUACGGCCCAGACUCCUACGGGAGGCAGCAGUGGGGAAGAUUGCACAAGGGGCGCAAGCCUGAUGCAGCGACGCCGCGUGGGGGAGGACGGCCUUCGGGUUGUAAACGCCUUUCGCUAGGGACGAAGCUUUUUGUGACGGUACCUAGAUAAGAAGCACCGGCUAACUACGUG